rnacentral:rRNA from 1 species
CAGCCGCCGCGGUAAAACGAGGGGAGCUAGCGUUAUUCGGAAUUACUGGGCGUAAAGGGCGUGUAGGCGGCCUGGGGCGUCCCAUGUGAAAGGCCACGGCUCAACCGUGGAGGAGCGUGGGAUACGCUCAGGCUAGAGGGUGGGAGAGGGUGGUGGAAUUCCCGGAGUAGCGGUGAAAUGCGCAGAUACCGGGAGGAACGCCGAUGGCGAAGGCAGCCACCUGGUCCACUUCUGACGCUGAGGCGCGAAAGCGUGGGGAGCAAACCGGAUUAGAUACCCCGGUAGUCCCUGUCUCUUAUAC